GCGGUCGUAGCUCAGUUGGUAGAGCACCGGAUUGUGAUUCCGGUUGUCGCGGGUUCAAGCCCCGUCGAUCGCC
rnacentral:tRNA from 1 species